UACGAAGGGGGGCUAGCGUUACUCGGAUUGACUGGGCGUAAAGGGCGCGUAGGCGGUUCGUACAGUCAGACGUGAAAUUCCUGGGCUCAACCUGGGGGCUGCGUUUGAUACGUGCGGGCUUGAGUUCGGAAGAGGGUCGUGGAAUUCCCAGUGUAGAGGUGAAAUUCGUAGAUAUUGGGAAGAACACCGGGUGGCGAAGGCGGCGACCUGGUCCGAUACUGACGCUGAGGCGCGAAAGCGUGGGGAGCAAACAGG
rnacentral:rRNA from 1 species